GUCACAGUUUGCCCAGACAUCUUUUUUUAAAUCCGUCAAUCCGUCACCCACACGUCAUUCUGGGGGACGAAGAGGAGGAAGCUGGACAGAUAAAUUUAUUUAUUUAUUUAUCAUUGCUGUGUUUCCUCAAUCGAGUGCAGAAAGAAGAAAAACAACACAACUGAUUUAAAAUAAAAAUAUAGAAAAUAAUCUAAUGUAAGAUUCUGAUCCGGUUUGCUUUCAGCAGGAAGGCUGUCCUCUUUCCUGUUGCUCUUUCUCUUCUAUUAGUCCAUUUGUCCAGUCUGAAUCGGUUUUGAUUCGUUUCGAGACGAUUCGGAGUCGAAUAAUUUUCUAGUGAGAGUCGCACACUUCCAAACGAACUAGACUGAGAUGAGUAUUUGAUUCUCACUAGAAAGUGAUUCGACUCUGAAUAAACUCGAAAUGAAUCAGUCAAACUGAUUCAGACUCUAUAAAAGGACUAUGAGAUGUGAUUAAGAUAUAUAUUCCAAUGUUUUGCUUUACAAUUCCAUUGUGUGUGUGUGUGUGUGUGUGUGUGUGUGCGUGCGCGCGCACGUGUGUUUUUCAGGAGAACGAGAAACUCGGACACAACAGUACAUCCUGACCAUUGGUACUGUGUACACAUCAACAUACACACACGUCUCCAUGCUGGACAUCUCAGGAGCUUUCACACAAGUCCGAAAGACGUGCCCUUCUCCAAGCUUUAAAGGAGAAGAUCCAGGGCUGUUGAAGCUGCGGUGGAACUGAGACAUCAUCAUCCACAU
ensembl:lncRNA